rnacentral:ncRNA from 1 species
GACCGAUUCCAAACUCCCAGAUGCUCAGUCUGGCUAUGAAAAAGGGUAUACCGUCACAUUGGCUGCUCAUUCCGGGGCCAACCUGGUUUAUGAAUCAG